rnacentral:rRNA from 1 species
GAUGAACGCUGGCGGUCUGCUUAACACAUGCAAGUCGAACGAAACUCUUUCGGAGUGAGUGGCGGACGGGUGAGUAACGCGUGAGAAUCUGCCUGUGGGUCGGGGACAACCACUGGAAACGGUGGGCUAAUACCCGGAUGAGCCGAAAGGUAAAAGAUUUACUUGCCCACAGAUGAGCUCGCGUCUGAUUAGCUAGUUGGUAAGGUAAAAGCGUACCAAGGCGACGAUCAGUAGCUGGUCUGAGAGGGAUGAGCAGCCACACUGGGACUGAGACACGGCCCAGACUCCUACGGGAGCAGCAGUGGGAAUUUUCCG